UUUUAGAAAUUAAUUUAAAGUCUAACCUGCCCACUGAAUUUUUAAAUGGCCGCAGUAUUCUAACUGUGCAAAGGUAGCAUAAUCAUUAGUCUUUUAAUUAAAGGCUGGAAUGAAUGGUUGAAUGAAAUAUUAACUGUUUCAUAAAAAUUUAUAAUAAAAUUUUAUUUUUUAGUUAAAAAGCUAAAAUAAAAUUAAAAGACGAGAAGACCCUAUAAAUCUUUAUAUUUAUUUAAUUUUAAUUAUUUUGAAAAAUUAAAUUAUAAUUAUUUUAAGUAUUUUAUUGGGGUGAUAUUAAAAUUUAAUAAACUUUUAAUUUAUAAUUUACAUAAAUUAAUGAAUUUUUGAUCCAUAUAUUAUGAUUAAAAAAUUAAGUUACUUUAGGGAUAACAGCGUAAUUUUUUUAGAGAGUUCAUAUUGAUAAAAA
rnacentral:rRNA from 1 species